rnacentral:lncRNA from 1 species
UAUAUAUAUAUAAAGUAAAGUUGGAAUGUUUUUAAUAGCACUAAGUCAUUAAUGCUAAUAAAUUUUUGGAUCUUAGAUGUGGUUGGUUGAAUAGUAUAAUCUAACGGAUGGAAAAGAAAUAAAUCUAAUGGUGGAAAACUCGAUAGCACCAAACUUGACUCCAUAUGAGUCUACACGUGACCGCUUAAUGUUAUGUGAUGUAGUUUAUCUAUUCUUACCAGGCAAGUUAGUGGAAGAAUUAAGAUCGUUGUUUAUUAAGACGUACAUCUUAAGCUCAGAUGUAAAAAGAAGUGUUGGAUGUAAAAUACCAGGAUAUCAUUAUCUUUUAUAUAUUCCUUCAGAAAUUGCACGCAAUUUAGAGAGAGAUCUAGAGAGAGGGAGGAAAAUUUUUUUUAAAAGAAUAAACUUAGCUAAAAAUAUGAAUCAACAAGGAUUCGAAUUUGGAAUCUCGAAUACCAAUCAUCAAAUUAACUUGCGCUAGGGACAGGAUAUUGAAGCUUUAAAUUGUAGUG